UGGGGAAUUUUGCACAAUGGGGGAAACCCUGAUGCAGCGACGCCGCGUGAUUUAGAAGGCCUUCGGGUUGUAAAAAUCUUUUCUAUGGGAAGAAAAUGACAGUACCAUAGGAAUAAGGACCGGCUAAUUACGUGCCAGCAGCCGCGGUAAUACGUAAGGUCCGAGCGUUGUCCGGAAUCAUUGGGCGUAAAGGGUACGUAGGCGGGUAAGCAAGUUAGAAGUGCAAUCCUGUAGCUCAACUACAGUAAGCUGUUAAAACAGCUCAUCUGGAGAUAAGGAGGGGAAAGUGGAAUUCCUGGUGUAGCGGAGAAAUGCGCAGAUAUUAGGAGGAACACCGGUGACGAAGGCGACUUUCUGGACAUAAUCUGACGCUGUGGUAAGAAAGCGUGGGUAGCAAACAGG
rnacentral:rRNA from 1 species